rnacentral:rRNA from 1 species
AUACGGAGGGUGCAAGCGUUAUCCGGAUUUACUGGGUUUAAAGGGUACGCAGGCGGUAAUUUAAGUCAGUGGUGAAAGCCUACAGCUCAACUGUAGAACUGCCAUUGAAACUGAAUUACUUGAGUAUGGUAGAGGUAGGCGGAAUACAACAUGUAGCGGUGAAAUGCAUAGAUAUGUUGUAGAACACCGAUUGCGAAGGCAGCUUACUAAACCAUUACUGACGCUCAUGUACGAAAGCGUGGGGAGCGAACAGGAUUAGAAACCCUAGUAGUCC